UGCAAGUCGAACGUGAUCCGCCCUUCGGGGUGGUGAAAGUGGCGCACGGGUGAGUAACGCGUGGAUAAUCUGCCCGAGGAUUUGGGAUAACAUCUCGAAAGGGGUGCUAAUACCGAAUAAGCCCACGGGGUCUACGGAUCUUGCGGGAAAAGGGGGGGACCUUCGGGCCUCCUGUCCUUGGAUGAGUCUGCGUACCAUUAGCUAGUUGGUGGGGUAAUGGCCUACCAAGGCGACGAUGGUUAGCUGGUCUGAGAGGAUGAUCAGCCACACUGGAACUGAGACACGGUCCAGACUCCUACGGGAGGCAGCAGUGGGGAAUUUUGCGCAAUGGGGGAAACCCUGACGCAGCAACGCCGCGUGGGUGAUGAAGGCCUUCGGGUCGUAAAGCUCUGUCUGGAGGGAAGAAAUGAUUGGGAGCUAAUACCUCUUGAUCUUGACGGUACCUCUGAAGGAA
rnacentral:rRNA from 1 species